ACAAUAUUAGCAUUUUAGCACAGUUUUAAAGACUAGCAGAGAAAGGAUGCAGUUGGACAAGGUCUAGAACUUUGAGAGCUGCAACAAUGGCUACGCAGAGCAACACCCAGUAAUCAAAAGAAAAUACUGGAAAAAGAUUAAAACUCAGAGAGACAAGACUUAAAAACCAGGAGAACGGAAAAGAUGACUGAAGAGGCUUACUAGGAGCUGAGGUGAGGUUGAGACACCUGGAGACCCUCAUGAAAUAAUGACAUUAGUAGAAAGCAGUAUAGGGUAUUUUCUGUUCAGAAAGAAAAAACCAAAAAUACACUGAGAAUUAAUUGUGAAGUGACUGCUAAAACAGGAGAGGACAAAACCCAAGCACCAAGCUUUUACAACGAUCUCCUAAUACCAGCAAUCAAAUACCUGGCUACAUUUCAGCUCCAACAAUUGCAGCUGCAGUCCCACCUCAGCAUAAGUGAGAAAUACAAGCAAGUAAGUGCCAACUGGGUUUCAGUCUCAAAUACUUCAGUAUCUUCUACCCUGAAGGACAUUUUGAACUGCAGUGGUGGUAAAAGCCUUCCUGUAUGAACUCCUUAAAGCUCCUUUACAACAACCCAUUUACUGAGGAAACAGAGAAGUGUCUGUAUUUUAGCAAAACAACCUGUUUUCCAAGUUCUAAAAAUAGAAAAGAAAAAAAAUAUUAAAACUGUCUGUCAUUUUGAAAGCACUCACAAGCAUUUCAUCCUAAGCAACACAGCCUCCCCCCUUGCUAAAAAUAAAACAGUACAUUACAGCAACAUUUUUUGCUGGCUUCAGCCAAGGACUUGAAAACCUCCCCUCAGCCCAGACAGGCAGUAAGCUGUGAGUCAGCACUUCUCAGCAUUUCUGGAAAUUCCUCAGCAGAGCAUCCACCCUGUAGCAGGAAGCUGCCUGUUCACUUAAGCUGGUACCAGGAAACAGACGGGUGGUCAUGGACCUCACCUGAGGUGGGGACACAGCUCAAGAAAAUUUCACCAAAACUACCAAACAUUCCCCAUCCCACCAGCUUCCCACACCACCACCGAGUACACUGCCUGGGAAUAAAUUCAGUACCUCCUCAGCUGGCACCCAACUACAACUAUGUGCAGUUUCAAAGAACAGGAAAUAUAAGAUUUAACUUAAAAAAAAAAUUAACAUUGGACAAAGGCACUAACAAGUUUCUCUGGUGCAAUUUUAAUGGUAUGGGCUCUCCCAGAACAUAGAGGCAGCUCCACUCCAACAGCCACAGGCAGGAUCUGUCUCCUGCCCAAAGAAGUCUGUAUUAAUUCAAAACAGUCAUGCCCCUCUAGGUAAAGAGGGGGUUCUCCCAUGCUUACAGAGAAAGUGAUUCUUUCCACUCUCAAGAGGAUGAAGAAGUCAUGGGUUGCUAAUUGAAAGGACACAUGAACACAGCUCCAUCUCUCCCUCCAACAGUCCUUGCUUCCCACAGAAAAUCUUACAAGUCACAUACAACACUGUCACAAUGGGAGACAGAUCCCAUGCCUGUGUGGGGGACGGCCCAAAUCUGCCUCUGCCUGUACAGGCUAUGGUGGUGCUGAGUAUCUCAUCCCCACGGAGGCACAAACCAGAAUCAUAGAAUCAUCUGGGUUGGAAAGGACCUCUGAGAUCAUCAAGUCCAACCCUUGAAGUCCCCAUAGAAGCUCCUGGUGCUCAAUAGUCUUAAAUGUGUGCAACCACCAAGGUGGAGAUACUGCUCUUGAAAUGGAGAUAUAACAUGCUCUCGGGUCCAUGUAAGGAUAUAAAGCAGCUAUUUCACAAGUACUGCCUGUGGUGAAUGCAAUUCCUACAUUACUGGCCUUGGACUGAGCAUCCACUCUUGUUUUGCUUUAAACACAUGCUCUGACAGGGACAUUAAAGAGGGAGAGUUAAGGGAAUAGGAAGUACUUUGUGAACAUCAGUAAUUGCAUGUUCUGACCUCUCCAGCUUACAUCAUAUGUGUUAUCCAACAACCACAAAUCAAGAAGGAAACCCAAUUUAAGGACAUUAAUUUUCAGCACAACACGUAUGUUAAAACUAACAGAACAAGACAAAUGUUGACGUUUUCCCGCUUGUUUCUUGCUUUAAUAUAUGUGGCUCUUCUCCCAGAAAGAUCUUGUCUUUUUUUUUUUUUUAAUGAAUAUUUGUAUAAAGGAAGCUGCCUAAAGUUGGGUAAAAAAAAAUGUUUUUCUCGACUGUUUUUAAAUACGGAGCAAUGAGAUUAAAGCGAGGCAGACAGCCAAAUACCUCAGCCAUCACAGUCAUUAAUAAACGCGUUUAACAUUCGUGCAGCUUUCGAAUGUAGAACAUCUGGUUCCAAUUCCCAAUCUGGCUUUUAAUAAAAGUGCCUCCCCCACAAUACUUUUAUUAUAAAGUGUUCUUUUCCUCCAUGGG